GUUAGGAAUAUUGGACAAUGGGCGCAAGCCUGAUCCAGCCAUGCCGCGUGAGUGAUGAAGGCCUUCGGGUUGUAAAGCUCUUUAGCCGAUGAUUAUAAUGACUGUAGUCGGAAAAUAAGCCCCGGCUAACUUCGUGCCAGCAGCCGCGGUAAUACGAAGGGGGCGAGCGUUAUUCGGAAUCACUGGGCGUAAAGCGUGCGUAGGCGGCUUUGCAAGUUGGGAGUGAAAGCCCAGGGCUCAACCCUGGAAUUGCUCUCAAAACUGCAAGGCUCGAAUUCGGGAGAGGAUAGCGGAAUUGUCAGUGUAGCAGUGAAAUGCGUAGAUAUUGACAGGAACACCAGUGGCGUAAGCGGCUAUCUGGACCGAUAUUGACGCUGAGGCACGAAAGCGUGGGGAUCAAACAGGAUUAGAUAUCCCGGUAGUCC
rnacentral:rRNA from 1 species